CAGUCGAGCGAUGAAACUACUUCGGUAGUGAAUUAGCGGCGAACGGGUGAGGAACACGUGAGGAAUCUGCCUUCAACACUGGGAUAACUCCGGGAAACCGGGGCUAAUACCGGAUAUGAGCUCUGAUCGCAUGGUCGGGGCUGUAAAGUUUUUCGGUUGAAGAUGACCUCGCGGCCUAUCAGCUUGUUGGUGAGGUAAUGGCUCACCAAGGCGACGACGGGUAGCCGGCCUGAGAGGGCGACCGGCCACACUGGGACUGAGACACGGCCCAGACUCCUACGGGAGGCAGCAGUGGGGAAUAUUGGGCAAUGGAGGAAACUCUGACCCAGCGACGCCGCGUGCGGGAUGAAGGCCUUCGGGUUGUAAACCGCUUUCAGUAGGGAAGAAGCGAAAGUGACGGUACCUACAGAAGAAGCACCGGCUAACUAUGUGCCAGCAGCCGCGGUAAUACAUAGGGUGCAAGCGUUGUCCGGAAUUAUUGGGCGUAAAGAGCUCGUAGGUGGUUUGAUACGUCGGGUGUGAAAUUCAGGGGCUCAACCCCUGACCUGCAUUCGAUACGGUCAAGCUAGAGUUUGGUAGGGGAGACUGGAAUUCCUGGUGUAGCGGUGGAAUGCGCAGAUAUCAGGAGGAACACCGAUGGCGAAGGCAGGUCUCUGGGCCAAUACUGACACUGAGGAGCGAAAGCGUGGGGAGCGAACAGGAUUAGAUACCCUGGUAGUCCACGCCGUAAACGGUGGGCGCUAGUUGUGCGAACCUUCCACGGUUUGUGCGACGCAGCCAACGCAUUAAGCGCCCCGCCUGGGGAGUACGAUCGCAAGAUUAUAACUCAAAGGAAUUGACGGG
rnacentral:rRNA from 1 species